AACAACUACUGUCAGCGGCCAAGAGGAGCAUGAAGAAGCUCAAAUAUGAACCCAGGUAUCUUAUUCCUCAAAUUUGCAUUCUUUUGUUUUUCUUUGAUGACAACUCGGUGAUAACUUUUUCUCUGUUUCAAUUUUUGCUUCGGGUGAACAAUAACAACAACAUAUACCUCUUUCCAUGUCGUAUUCGUCGCCUCUCUCUUGGUGGACAACAAACAGAGUUCAAUUUAUAUGUUCUUGUUCAUCACUGAUUUUUACAAGUCCAAAAGAUUCAACCAAAAAAACAGACAAUUGAAGUGAAGUACAAGAACAACAAACUUGCAGUAACAAUUAUAAGUAAUAUUGAGAGCAAGAGCAGAAAUGAUUUACCUACGGCGAGAGUCGUUCGCCGGAUUAUUGUUGAGGUACAAUCAACGGUUAAUGGAUAUAUGGAGAGUGAAAGAAAAUAGGCUUACCUGCGGCGAAGAUGUUGAAGAUUCAUCUAUGGAGGCUCGAAGAUGGGAGCCAUCGUUGAAGGCUGCUAGAAAGCAAGGUAUGAAGGCCUUCCCUCUUCCUCUUUCUUUUGUAUUUUGUAACUUAGAAGUUACAGAACAUUGGCUGCCUUCUCCCCUCCUUUGUAACUAUGGAACUUUUUGAAAAUUAUGAAAAGAGAGAAAGCAAGAACUUAAGUUCUUUUGGUCUGUCCAACUUCAAAGAAAUCACUUCUUAUUUAUAGGCAAAAUUUAGGGAUGUGUUAGGAAUUAAGAAACUUGAUUGGGAGGUUAUAGUCAUCUCAAGAAUGAGAAUAAGAAUAAGAAUAUAUUCUUCAUCAUUGCAAGAUAAGAAUAAGAAUAAGAAUAUUCUUAUGCAAAGAUAUUUUUCAUGAUAUAAGCCAUGUGUGUAAAUUUUUAUGUCAUUUUAUGAUAUCUCUAAGUUGCAUAAUUUUAUGACAUAAAAAUCUCUCUUUGACAUUCUUUGACUUUUGCUAAUCUCACCCCUCUUUUGUUUUCUUUUUCAUGUCACAUGAGAACUCUUGAAGAAAGAAUGAAGAAUCUUGAACUUGAAGAAUGAAGACUUUGAAGAUUGAAGAAUUCAAGAAUGUCUUUGAAGUUUUAUUUUUCUUUUCCUUGUAAUUCCAACUUUGUAUGAAUGAAACUUUGUAAUUCUUGAAUUUUAAAUAAAGUCCCUUCAUUUGUAAUUCAUU